AGAGUUUGAUCAUGGCUCAGAACGAACGCUGGCGGCGUGCUUAACACAUGCAAGUCGUACGAGAAAGUCCCGCUUUGCGGGAUAAGUAAAGUGGCGAACGGGUGAGUAACACGUGGGUAAUCUACCCUCAAGACAGGGAUAACACUGCGAAAGCGGUGCUAAUACCUGAUAAGCCUACAGUUACCGUGGUGACAGUAGGAAAAGGGUGGCCUCUUUUUAAUGCUACCGCUUGAGGAUGAGCCCGCGCACCAUUAGCUAGUUGGUAGGGUAAUGGCCUACCAAGGCUACGAUGGUUAGCUGGCCUGAGAGGGCGGUCAGCCACACUGGAACUGAGACACGGUCCAGACUCCUACGGGAGGCAGCAGUGGGGAAUAUUGCGCAAUGGGGGGAACCCUGACGCAGCAACGCCGCGUGAGUGAUGAAGGCUUUCGAGUCGUAAAGCUCUGUCAGAUGGGAAGAAUAAGCCUGAGGAGAAUAUCCUCAGGUGAUGACGGUACCAUCAGAG
rnacentral:rRNA from 1 species